UACGUAGGGGGCUAGCGUUAUCCGGAAUUACUGGGCGUAAAGGGUGCGUAGGUGGUUUCUUAAGUCAGAGGUGAAAGGCUACGGCUCAACCGUAGUAAGCCUUUGAAACUGGGGAACUUGAGUGCAGAAGAGGAGAGUGGAAUUCCUAGUGUAGCGGUGAAAUGCGUAGAUAUUAGGAGGAACACCAGUUGCGAAGGCGGCUCUAUGGACUGUAACUGACACUGAGGCACGAAAGCGUGGGGAGCAAACAGG
rnacentral:rRNA from 1 species